UACGUAGGUGGCAAGCGUUGUUCGGAAUUAUUGGGCGUAAAGGGCGCGUAGGCGGUUUGUUAAGUCAGUUGUGAAAGCCCCGGGCUCAACCUGGGAAUGGCAGUGGAAACUAGGGGACUUGAAUCUGGCAGAGGGGGGUGGAAUUCCACGUGUAGCAGUGAAAUGCGUAGAGAUGUGGAGGAACACCGAUGGCGAAGGCAGCCCCCUGGGCUGAGAUUGACGCUCAGGCACGAAAGCGUGGGGAGCAAACAGG
rnacentral:rRNA from 1 species